rnacentral:rRNA from 1 species
GAUGAACGCUAGCGGCAGGCUUAACACAUGCAAGUCGAGGGGCAGCGUGAGGGUUAGCAAUAACCCUUGACGGCGACCGGCGCAAGGGUGCGUAACGCGUGAGCAACUUGCCCUUAUCAGGGGGAUAACCGGUGGAAACGCCGACUAAUACCCCAUGGCAUUGGUUGGAGGCAUCUCCUUCCAAUUAAAGAGUUUCGGAUAAGGAUAGGCUCGCGUGACAUUAGCUAGACGGCGGGGUAACGGCCCACCGUGGCAACGAUGUCUAGGGGUUCUGAGAGGAAGGUCCCCCACACUGGAACUGAGACACGGUCCAGACCUCCGUACGGGAGGCAGCAGUGAGGAAUAUGGUACAAGUGGGCGCGAGCCUGAACCAGCCAAGUAGCGUGAAGGAUGACU